AGCAUUCUCCUGUGGUGUAACAUUACCUGCCACUCAUGCUGGUUCCCAUGCGCCAAGCUAAUUUCAACAACGGGUGAAGUGGUUAUCUCCAUGUGAUGGCUGAGGAGACAGAUUCUGGGUGUUGCUACUAAGCCUCGUGGAGGCAGCCAUGACAGAGCAGAGCCUUCCGUCCUCCUGUUCCAGGUCAGCAGCCUCUCCCAAGGCAGGACUCCAUGGGCCAGGCUCUUUCCACCCCCACCCUGCUUCUUCAGGCCAGCUCUUACUUGGUCUGACGAUAAGUCUGAGAGAGGACUCCUCUUCUUGGGGGCUACCUUCAACACCAGACUCUCCAGAGUACAUCUUUGCAGCUCUAUAAACUUCUGUUAUUUGUUCACAUUGUCUAAUAAUUUCCUGGAAAUAGACUUCGUAUUUUUAGUUAUAAGAAGAAUUGAAAAAUAAUAUUGCUGUUCUAGAAGAAAGCAUUUAUUUAUUUUGCAUUUGUAGUUCACCCAGAGGCUGGCUGUGCAGACAAAUCUCUCUGCUUGGGAAGGACAGGGCUCUCUAAAGUAAUUCUAGGGAUGCAGCUGUCUACAAGUCACACUGAAAAUGAAAAGUAUGCUUAUGAGGCCAUGAGAAAGCCUUGUCAUAAGUUGUAAUUUUGUGUGUAUAUUUAAAAUGUAUUUGGUGACCAACCUUUUCUGUCACACUAUUGCCUGAUGUCCAGGCUUAAACUGAGACUGAACUAUCACCUCUCCGUUACGCAUAUGCAAACACACUGAAACCUCAUUGUCUACACUCAGUGUGGCACUUCACCUGAUACCACCAGCUGACACCAGGCUGCAAGUCAUAGGUUGCAGUCAAGUACAUACACCCCUUUGCAAGAAGGCAUUCUCAAUAGCUUCCACUAGAGGCACGUGUGCGCACCUUUGCUAGAAAGCUUUGAUUGGCUAGCCUUCCAGAGCAGAAAAAACUGGGAAUGGCCUGAACCCAAAAUUUACAGAAAAGUAAAUACAAAUAAUGAAUGAUCCCUACUCUUCACAGACAUGCAAAAUAGGAAAGAGAAAACUCUAUCAAAUUAGCAAAUUACAUGAGGAUGAUGAACAUGAUGGUAGGAAGUCAAUUACACACUGCCUGUGGAACUGUAAAGUUGUACAAACCUUUCAGCAAACAAAUAAUUUGGCAAAACAGAGCUUGGAUCUUAGUGUCCGUUCCCUUGAAUCCUUUCAUUCUAAGAUUCUAUUUUAUGGAAAUAACCAGAAAUAUGAGCAAAUAUUUAUGUUCGAAAUGUUUGUUGCAGUUUUUUUUAAGAACCAAAAAAAAAAAAAAUUCUAAAUGCUCGGGAUUAAAUAUAUUAUUCUCAUGAUGGAAUAUUUUGCAAUCACUAAAGCAGGGUCUGUGAAUAGUUUUAAUAACUUGAGAAAAUCUUAAAAUUAAGAGAAAGGUUCAGAUAGAAAAUUACAGUAUUUUCUCAAUAAUUUAAUGUACUAAACAUGCAAAAGACUGGAAGAAAAUACAAUAAAAUGUCAAUUGGUUAA